rnacentral:rRNA from 1 species
UGUGGUUUAAUUCGAUGCAACGCGAAGAACCUUACCUGGUCUUGACAUCCACGGAAGUUUUCAGAGAUGAGAAUGUGCCUUCGGGAACCGUGAGACAGGUGCUGCAUGGCUGUCGUCAGCUCGUGUUGUGAAAUGUUGGGUUAAGUCCCGCAACGAGCGCAACCCUUAUCCUUUGUUGCCAGCGGUCCGGCCGGGAACUCAAAGGAGACUGCCAGUGAUAAACUGGAGGAAGGUGGGGAUGACGUCAAGUCAUCAUGGCCCUUACGACCAGGGCUACACACGUGCUACAAUGGCGCAUACAAAGAGAAGCGACCUCGCGAGAGCAAGCGGACCUCAUAAAGUGCGUCGUAGUCCGGAUUGGAGUCUGCAACUCGACUCCAUGAAGUCGGAAUCGCUAGUAAUCGUGGAUCAGAAUGCCACGGUGAAUACGUUCCCGGGCCUUGUACACACCGCCCGUCACACCAUGGGAGUGGGUUGCAAAAGAAGUAGGUAGCUUAACCUUCGGGAGGGCGCUUACCACUUUGUGAUUCAUGACUGGGGUGAAGUCGUAACAAGGUAACCGUAGGGGAACCUGCGGUUGGAUCAC